rnacentral:lncRNA from 1 species
CAAGAAUCCACUUGGUGGCAGUUCAUUAAUAUUUCAUACUUUCCACUUACAAGGAGAAUUGAUUCAUCCUGAACAGAAUUUAUACAUAACCUGGAUAUCAGGAUAUCUUCUCUGUCUGCAGUGACUUCACAAUGCCUUUUGUCAAUGGCAUUCAGAAUGCCUCAUCUAUCACAAUGGUAACCCACACAUUACCUUGAACGAAGAGACACUUUUAAAGUACAGGAGUGGAUCAGUUAGCUCAAAACUGUAAGAUUACAUCAUAUAUUAUGUACCUCUUCACCCAGAAGCAGCUGGAUUAAUAAAACAUUGGAAGGACCUACUGAAGGCUUACUUCAGCUAAAUCUGCAGCUUGAACAAAUCACUUUGAAAGGAAAUUAUAAGUGACCACAUCUUGAACAUUUAGACUCCAUCAGAGGUCAAAACGAGGCUUGGGACAGAGUUCCAUGACACCUAUUGUUGCAGGAGUCACAGAGGCUUCAGCACUCAGGUCAGAGACCAUGAGGAAACAGAGGCUAUGACUUAGCCAGAUUUCCGCCCUUAUUAUCCAAAAUCUGAUUCAAGACCUCCAAGUAAAGGAAAGAAUGUGAAAAUAAGUAAAAAGAAAAAAAUGACCAGACAUCUGGAGCUCCUCCUGCCACUGCUGAAUCCAUGACAGUGAAAUUCUUGUUCACUACGGUAAUCACAGAGAACGACUAUGCCAUGCCACUUCCAGAUUGCCUCACUUUCGCUAAAAGCCAGCAGGAUGAAAAUUUCCACUCAAGCAUUGUGAACUGGAGUCCACCUGGUACCACCGUGACCUCUAUCAGAAGUGUCUGAUGCCAAGUGACAAACAGAGAUCACAUUACCUUCAUUUAUGUAUUUGCUCUUCCUCAUGUCCAGAAUUGCUACUGCAUACCCUGCAGAAACAAAUUUACUAACUAGUGUCUAAUGAGGUGCAAAGGAUAUUGGAUAUUGUCGUGCUCAUCUAAAGCACACAGUCUUCAUCUCUCCUUCAUGCCACAGUGAAUUAAGUAGAUAAACAUGUCAUGGGAAAUUAAGAUGGAUGAUAAGCUUGUUGGCACCAUCUUGAAGGCACAAGACAUCAUCACCCUCUCCACAGGUAUUUGGCUAAUGUACUCUGUCCUCACAUUGUCAAGCAGCACCUUGAAGAGAUAUCGCAUACAUUGUUGAAAGCAGAAAGGAAGUCAAAGAUAAUAUGACUCAUAGUUUACAUAUUGCAUACAUAAUGUGGUCUUGAUAUGAACUUGAAAAGACAGUAAAAU